rnacentral:rRNA from 1 species
GAUGAACGCUGGCGGCGUGCCUAAUACAUGCAAGUCGAGCGAACAGACGAGGAGCUUGCUCCUCUGACGUUAGCGGCGGACGGGUGAGUAACACGUGGAUAACCUACCUAUAAGACUGGGAUAACUUCGGGAAACCGGAGCUAAUACCGGAUAAUAUAUUGAACCGCAUGGUUCAAUAGUGAAAGACGGUUUUGCUGUCACUUAUAGAUGGAUCCGCGCCGCAUUAGCUAGUUGGUAAGGUAACUGCUUACCAAGGCAACGAUGGGUAGCCGACCUGAGAGGGUGAUCGCCCAGACUGGAAGUGAGAAUGGGCAGAGACACUGACGGGAGGAAGCGGUAGGGAAUCUUACGCGAUGGGGGAGAGCGUGACGGAGCACCGUCGCGUGAGGGAUGAAGGUCUUCGGAUGGGAAAGCGCUGUAGGUAGGGAAGAAGUAAAGUGUAAGUAACCAUGAACGUAUUGACGGUACCGAGUGAGUAAGCCACGGCUAACUACGUG